GUUUUUUUUUUGGUCUUUUGUUGUUUUUAGACAAUGAAGAAAUUUUGGCUUCUGGCACUUUUAGAUCGCCUCAUCUCUCCGAGACUGCAGCUCAAGAUGACCAGGGAAACUCUGUCUGUGUAACUUCUGGUUCACCUCAUCUCCCUGACUCAGUUACUCAAGGUUUCCGUGUUUCAUCAAGGCGGUGUACGAAGAGACCAUGGUCUGGUGAGGAGCAACAAGCCGUGAUGAAACAUCUGAGGCCUUUUGUUGAAAAUGGUGUCACUGCCACCAGUGGGCAGUGCCUGCAGUGCAAGGAAAAGGAACACCCUAUCUUGGAGACAAGAUCCAUUCAAAACAUUCAAGAUUUUGUACGCAACAGAGGCUUGGCCUUUAAAAGGUAUUCAAAUGCUAAACGCUAAAUGCACUUUUGGAUAGCUUUUUUUUUUAGCCUUUCUAGGCAUGUUUUACAAGUUGGUGUCCUGUGUUCAGAAAUGGGUUAGGUCAGUGUUUUAUAUAUAUUUUUUAUAUAUAUUUGAUCAAUCUGGUAAGUUUAGAUAUAUGUUUCCUUGUACAUAUUUAGAUGUAUAAAAGACAUGUAUUGCUUUACAUAUAGGGCUGUUUUCCCCUUGGUUGCUUUUGUGUUCAUGGAUGGGAGGAUCAUUUAAUGGAAGAUGAUACUCAACCAGUAAAAAAGCAGGAAAAAUGUCGUGCUUUGUCAGAAUUUAUUUCAUAAAUGGUCAUUUAAAAUACUUAAAAUCUUGCCAUUGCUAUUUGGUUUUAGUGUUUUUUCUCUCAUCAUUUAACACUAUUUAACGCUAUUUCUUGUUAAGAGCUACUGUUUUUUAAAGGGGAAGUGUACCCCAUAAUUUUUGCUGUAUGCGGUACUAUCUAAUUUCUUACAUGAUCUUAAACAUAGUUAUCUUCAACACAGUGAUCUAUCCCUUUACUUCAUUUAUUUUGCUCACAGGCAGUGUUUG
ensembl:lncRNA